rnacentral:rRNA from 1 species
UACAGAGGGUGCGAGCGUUGUCCGGAAUCACUGGGCGUAAAGGGCGCGUAGGCGGCUUGAUAAGCGUGCGGUGAAAGCCCGGGGCUCAACCCCCGGGUCGGCCGUGCGAACUGUCGAGCUGGAGCACUGUAGAGGCAGGUGGAAUUCCGGGUGUAGCGGUGGAAUGCGUAGAGAUCCGGAAGAACACCGGUGGCGAAGGCGGCCUGCUGGGCAGUGGCUGACGCUGAGGCGCGACAGCGUGGGGAGCAAACA